rnacentral:lncRNA from 1 species
CUUGAACUUUAAUUUUUCUGCCCCAUCCUUCCAAGCAGAAAUUUUGACUCUAAGAUUAUUUAAUAGCCACCAAAUAUGAUAACACUUCAGUCCCAGUAGCAGAUAACUUCCUACUGCUGUGUUUUUCAGACUUCCAGUGUGUCUCUGAACUUUUGUAGUAGCUCAAAAAGAAUAUGCCCAUAGUAGUAUUUGACCAAAGUUGUUCAUUACUUGUCAAAUCAGAAUCAGAACACACAAGUUAUUAGAGGUUGUAGUCUUUUUGAUCUGGUCAGUGGUUGCCUUCUUGUGGCUAUUGGCUCCAGUUACAGUUUCUUUCUUUUUCUUUUUCUUUUUUUCCUGAGACUGGGUUUCUCUGUAUAGCCCUGGCUGUCCUGGAACUCACUUUGUAGACCAGGCUGGCCUUGAACUCAGAAAUCCA